UAAAAGUCGUAACAAGGUUUCCGUAGGUGAACCUGCGGAAGGAUCAUUAUCGCGUCUAAUGUCUUUGUGACUACACUGUGAACUGUAUGCUUUACUUGACGAGAGCGUUCUCUGGUGACAGAGAUUGAAAAGGGAGUACCGCCUCGCUUGCCUCUCGUCUCUUGUAAAACAACUUAUACACAAUAUUCCAGGUUGCCAACUGUCUUAGGACGGUUAGAAUACGAAAACGAGAGAACAACUUCUAACGGUGGAUCUCUUGGCUCGUGCAUCGAUGAAGAACGUUGCCAGUUGCGAUAAGUAGUGUGAAUUGCAGAAUGAAGUGAAUCAUCGAAUCUUUGAACGCAAAUUGCACUCUCUGGAUAUCCGGAGAGUAUGUCUGUCUGAGCGUCGUGAAAAAUCUAAACACUUCGGUGUUGAUUGGGAGUUCGAGUGACCGCAAGGGCGCUCGUCUCUCUAAGUGUCUGAGACCUGUGGCUGUGAGUUACACUCGCUGAACAGUUGUCUUAAUCUGCUUUAAACAACUGACAGUUAGGAAACUCUCGGCGUUUACACUAGUCUCGCUUACUGACUGACUAACCACAGUCGACUUACAUCUUUGACCUCAGAUCAGUCAAGACUACCCGCUGAAUUUAAGCAUAUCAAUAAGCGGAGGAAG
rnacentral:rRNA from 1 species